AUUGAACGCUGGCGGCAGGCCUAACACAUGCAAGUCGAGCGGAUGAAGGGAGCUUGCUCCUGGAUUCAGCGGCGGACGGGUGAGUAAUGCCUAGGAAUCUGCCUGGUAGUGGGGGAUAACGUCCGGAAACGGGCGCUAAUACCGCACACGUCCUGAGGGAGAAAGUGGGGGAUCUUCGGACCUCACGCUAUCAGAUGAGCCUAGGUCGGAUUAGCUAGUUGGUGGGGUAAAGGCCUACCAAGGCGACGAUCCGUAACUGGUCUGAGAGGAUGAUCAGUCACACUGGAACUGAGACACGGUCCAGACUCCUACGGGAGGCAGCAGUGGGGAAUAUUGGACAAUGGGCGAAAGACUGAUCCAGCCAUGCCGCGUGUGUGAAGAAGGUCUUCGGAUUGUAAAGCACUUUAAGUUGGGAGGAAGGGCAGUAAGUUAAUACCUUGCUGUUUUGACGUUACCAACAGAAUAAGCACCGGCUAACUUCGUG
rnacentral:rRNA from 1 species